rnacentral:rRNA from 1 species
AUGAACGCUAGCGGCAGGCUUAACACAUGCAAGUCGAGGGGCAGCAUGAGGGUUAGCAAUAACCUUUGAUGGCGACCGGCGCAAGGGUGCGUAACGCGUGAGCAACUUGCCCGUUUCUGGGGGAUAACCGGUGGAAACGCCGACUAAUACCCCAUGGCAUUGAGUUGAGGCAUCUCUACUCAAUUAAAGAAUUUCGGAUAAGGAUAGGCUCGCGUGACAUUAGCUAGACGGCGGGGUAACGGCCCACCGUGGCGACGAUGUCUAGGGGUUCUGAGAGGAAGGUCCCCCACACUGGAACUGAGACACGGUCCAGACUCCUACGGGAGGCAGCAGUGAGGAAUAUUGGUCAAUGGUCUGACGACUGAACCAGCCAUGCCGCGUGAAGGUCACGGCCCUAUGGGUCUUAAACUUCUUUUGCGAGGGAGCAAUAAGGCGCACGUGUGCGUCGAUGAGAGUACCUCGCGAAUAAGCAUCGGCUAACUCCGUG